CACCGCGGUUAGACGGGCUGACCCAAGUUGAUAACCAACGGCGUAAAGAGUGGUUAAGAUAAACUUGUACUAAAGCCGAAUGCCUCCCCGACUGUUAUACGCGCCCGGAGGAAUGAAGCCCAUCCACGAAAGUAGCUUUAUAAUGUCUGAUCCCACGAAAGCUAGGGCA
rnacentral:rRNA from 1 species